rnacentral:rRNA from 1 species
GACGAACGCUGGCGGCGUGCUUAACACAUGCAAGUCGAACGGAAAGGCCCAGCUUGCUGGGUGCUCGAGUGGCGAACGGGUGAGUAACACGUGGGUGAUCUGCCUCUAACUUCGGGAUAAGCUUGGGAAACUGGGUCUAAUACCGGAUAGGACAAUCGUUUAGUGUCGGUUGUGGAAAGUUUUUUCGGUUAGGGAUGAGCCCGCGGCCUAUCAGCUUGUUGGUGGGGUAAUGGCCUACCAAGGCGUCGACGGGUAGCCGGCCUGAGAGGGUGGACGGCCACAUUGGGACUGAGAUACGGCCCAGACUCCUACGGGAGGCCGCAGUGGGGAAUAUUGCACAAUGGGCGCAAGCCUGAUGCAGCGACGCCGCGUGGGGGAUGACGGCCUUCGGGUUGUAAACCUCUUUCGACAGGGACGAAGCUUUGGUGACGGUACCUGUAUAAGAAGCACCGGCUAACUACGUG